rnacentral:lncRNA from 1 species
GAUAUCGAGUCUUGGAGUGCAAUCUUGUAUUUGUAAAUCUCUCAUUCCUCUUAAUGAAGUAACCUUCCUCUGUUUUCAAUAAAUAUCUUUUUUGGUAUCAAAGCCAUAUUUCCCAAAAGGAAACCCCUGGGUGUGCAACAAUAUUAUGCUUUGUGGUUGCCGAAAUAUUUCGAAUCCUCCACAUCAGAAAGUUGUUGGAUACUGAUCUACCUGUCCCAAAUUUCCAUUCUAAAACACUACAGAGUGAAUUCUGUAAGGUGUG